GCACCCGUAGCUCAGUUGGAUUAGAGCACCAGACUACGAAUCUGGGGGUCGCAUGUUCGAGUCAUGCCGGGUGCGCCA
rnacentral:tRNA from 1 species